CCAGGACAAAGCUCAACCUGUUGUGAGGCAGGGACGGAAAGCCGCGGAUCUUUAAAAAAAGAAAGCCGGGUUACCUUG
rnacentral:ncRNA from 1 species